GCCAGGUGCAGUGGUGCAUACCUGUAAUCCCAGCGACUCAGGGGGCUGAGGCAGGAGGAUCGCGGGCUCAAAGCCAGCCUCAGCAACAGGGAGGCACUAAGCAACUCAGUGAGACCCUAUCUCUA
rnacentral:sRNA from 1 species